ACAUUGCAAACUGGUGGUGGGCUCGCUGAAGUGGCCUUGACCAGUCAUGUCCUGAGACAAAUGACCAAAGCCGCCCGGAAAAUCCUGAGGCGGCUUUUUU
rnacentral:ncRNA from 1 species